rnacentral:rRNA from 1 species
GACGAACGCUGGCGGCGUGCUUAACACAUGCAAGUCGAACGGAAAGGCCCUGCUUUUGUGGGGUGCUCGAGUGGCGAACGGGUGAGUAACACGUGAGUAACCUGCCCUUGACUUUGGGAUAACUUCAGGAAACUGGGGCUAAUACCGGAUAGGAGCUCCUGCUGCAUGGUGGGGGUUGGAAAGUUUCGGCGGUUGGGGAUGGACUCGCGGCUUAUCAGCUUGUUGGUGGGGUAGUGGCUUACCAAGGCUUUGACGGGUAGCCGGCCUGAGAGGGUGACCGGCCACAUUGGGACUGAGACACGGCCCAGACUCCUACGGGAGGCAGCAGUGGGGAAUAUUGCACAAUGGGCGGAAGCCUGAUGCAGCAACGCCGCGUGCGGGAUGACGGCCUUCGGGUUGUAAACCGCUUUCGCCUGUGACGAAGCGUGAGUGACGGUAAUGGGUAAAGAAGCACCGGCUAACUACGUG